UGUGGUUUAGCUUAGUGGUGGAACACAUGCCUUGCAUGUAGAAAGUCCCAAGUUCAAUCCUUGGCAUCAUUA